rnacentral:lncRNA from 1 species
CCGCUGAGGCCCAGGUGCACAGGUACCCGGGUGCUAGCCACAGACGGUUCGACACCUGAGCCGAAGCGGAAAGUAGUUACUUGAGGUGGACACUCCAGCAUGAGCAGGGGCGGGACCGGCGGUACUACAUAGUCACGCUCUUACUCAUGUUGAUCGCUCUUCUAUUCUACAUCAUGUUGUAGAUAGAGAUGAUGAAACUUGUGGGUGUGCCAUGACCAUGCAGUUGCACUUAUUCGAGACAUGACAUGAUCGCACUUAUGUAUCGCUAUUUUCGAGAUGAUGUGAUGAUAUUUGUGUUGAAUGAUGAUGAUGAUUAUGGUAUG